rnacentral:rRNA from 1 species
AUAAUACUCCAUAGAUUAGAGACACUGGAAUGUUCUUUAGUCGAAAGUUCUGGCGCCUUAGGAUGGAUCUGCGGUCGAUUAGGUUGUUGUUGGGGUAACGGCCCAACAAGCCUGUAAUCGAUACGGGUUGUGGGAGCAAGAGCCCGGAGAUGGAAUCUGAGACACGAUUCCAGGCCCUACGGGGCGCAGCAGGCGCGAAAACUUUACAAUGCAGGAAACUGUGAUAAGGGAACUCCGAGUGCCCGUAUACGCGGGCUGUCCAGGUGUUUAAAAAUCAUCUGAAGAAAGGGCCGGGCAAGACCGGUGCCAGCCGCCGCGGUAAUACCGGCGGCUCGAGUGGUGGCCACUAUUAUUGGGCUUAAAGCGUCCGUAGCUGGACCGAUAAGUCUCUUGGGAAAUCCGCCGGCUCAACCGGCGGGCGUCUAAGGGAUACUGUUAGUCUAGGGACCGGGAGAGGUGAGAGGUACUCCGGGGGUAGGAGUGAAAUCCUGUAAUCCCCGGGGGACCACCGAUGGCGAAGGCACCUCACCAGAACGGCUCCGACAGUGAGGGACGAAAGCUGGGGGAGCGAACCGGAUUAGAUACCCGGGUAGUCCCAGCCGUAAACUAUGCGCGUUAGGUGU